UUGCCAUGCACCGUGACAUAUUCACAGGUU
rnacentral:piRNA from 1 species